CAUAAGUCGAAAAACAUGAUCAACACAACAUAAUCGUCAUGAGACUUCGACACAAGUCGAAACUUAUU
rnacentral:hammerhead_ribozyme from 9 species